AUUGAACGCUGGCGGCAGGCCUAACACAUGCACGUCGAACGGCAGCACAGAAGAGCUUGCUCUUUGGGUGGCGAGUGGCGGACGGGUGAGUAAUGUCUGGGAAACUGCCCGAUGGAGGGGGAUAACUACUGGAAACGGUAGCUAAUACCGCAUAACGUCGCAAGACCAAAGUGGGGGACCUUCGGGCCUCACACCAUCGGAUGUGCCCAGAUGGGAUUAGCUAGUAGGUGGGGUAAUGGCUCACCUAGGCGACGAUCCCUAGCUGGUCUGAGGGUAUGACCCACCACACUGGAACUAAGACACGGUCCAGACUCCUACGGGAGGCAGCAGUGGGGAAUAUUGCACAAUGGGCGCAAGCCUGAUGCAGCCAUGCCGCGUGUAUGAAGAAGGCCUUCGGGUUGUAAAGUACUUUCAGCGGGGAGGAAGGCGGUGAGGUCAAUAACCUCGCCGAUUGACGUUACCCGCGUAAGAAGCACCGGCUAACUCCGUGCCAGCAGCCGCGGUAA
rnacentral:rRNA from 1 species